AGUGAACGCUGGCGGUAGGCCUAACACAUGCAAGUCGAACGGCAGCACAGUAAGAGCUUGCUCUUACGGUUGGCGAGUGGCGGACGGGUGAGGAAUACAUCGGAAUCUACUUUUUCGUGGGGGAUAACGUAGGGAAACUGACGCUAAUACCGCAUACGACCUACGGGUGAAAGCAGGGGAUCUUCGGACCUUGCGCGAUUGUAUGAGCCGAUGUCGGAUUAGCUAGUUGGCGGGGUAAAGGCCCACCAAGGCGACGAUCCGUAGCUGGUCUGAGAGGAUGAUCAGCCACACUGGAACUGAGACACGGUCCAGACUCCUACGGGAGGCAGCAGUGGGGAAUAUUGGACAAUGGGCGCAAGCCUGACCCAGCCAUACCGCGUGAGUGAAGAAGGCCUUCGGGUUGUAAAGCUCUGUUGUUGGGAAAGAAAAGCAGCAGGUUAAUACCCCGCUGUUCUGACGGUACCCAAAGAAUAAGCACCGGCUAACUUCGUG
rnacentral:rRNA from 1 species